GUGGGGAAUCUUCCGCAAUGGACGAAAGUCUGACGGAGCGACGCCGCGUGAGUGAAGAAGGCCUUCGGGUCGUAAAGCUCUGUCAUCAGGGACGAACGGCCGGUGGAGUGGAAAGCCACCGGAUUGACGGUACCUGAGAAGGAAGCCACGGCUAACUACGUGCCAGCAGCCGCGGUAAUACGUAGGUGGCAAGCGUUGUCCGGGAUUAUUGGGCGUAAAGCGCGCGCAGGUGGGAUCUUAAGGCCAUUUUGAAAGUUCGGAGCUCAACUCCGUGAUGGGAUGGAAACUGGGAUUCUUGAGUACCGGAGAGGAAAGCGGAAUUCCCCGUGUAGCGGUGAAAUGCGUAGAUAUGGGGAGGAACACCAGUGGCGAAGGCGGCUUUCUGGACGGUGUCUGACACUGAGGCGCGAAAGCUAGGGGAGCGAACGGGAUUAGAAACCCUUGUAGUCC
rnacentral:rRNA from 1 species